UUUCUGUCUUCCCUGUCCUCUGCUCUCAGACUGUAAUAGAUACCUGCUCUUACGAAGGCAUUCAGAAUUACACAUGCAGAAUUACAACCACACAACAUUAAGUACAGUUGAGGUUGCUGUUUCAUGCCUGAAAACCUGGAACACUAUGUGUCUGUGUAUGUUACAUAUAUGUAUACAGCAUCAAGGGACAUCAAUAUUUCUGUUUUUAAUAUACAUUACACUGAAGAAAAUUACUUCAAAUAAGCGCCAAAGUAAAGUCAUUUCCACUGAUGAUUAUAUUUUAUGCAUAUUAGUGUCUCAGUAAUGUGCUGUGCCAUAUUUGAUUAUACUCACCAUUUGUAGUCUCUAUAACUUGUCCUUUCUAUAGCAGUACAUGUACUCAGUUUUUCAAAAUCAGAAAACAUUAUCCCUAACUUCCCCAACAGAUCAUAGUAUUUUGAUACCUUGUAUUCUACUUACCCAUUUAAUGCUCAGAGUUUUUGAAGUAUCCAUCCAUUAACUAUUACGUAAUUAACUAUAUAUGCCAACACUCUUACAAAAGGUUUUAUACUGGAACAUACCCAUCCAGCUAUUUCAUAUAACCAACUGAAAGGAUAUAGCCUGCAUGUGCAACUGUUACUAAUUAAAAAAAAAUAGCUCAUAUCAAGAUGGUCUGUUUUUAAGGAAGACUUUCAAGAGUGAAAGAGUAUUUUAAAAUCAUGUAGGUUUUUGUUGAGGGGAGGGGAGGGUCAUACAGUUGCCAGCGCUUACUCUUGGGAGCUGCUAACCAUGGGAAAGUAUAUUUACACUCCUUUCUUGCUGCCAGCAAGGCUUAGAGGAGUAGCCCAUCUGCUGUCACCUAGCACUGACUGUCGGGGCAGACAUGUUUGUCUUAUUCUGAAGUCCAGUAUCAAGAAUCAUCUGCUCAUAGAUCAAAGCUUAAUCCUCCAAUCCAGCCUUUUGAGUAUAAAAGUAAUAUUCUGCUUGUCAAUCUACUAAUUCGUUAGUUUUACAUGUUGUCUGGAAUUUGAAUGAAGAGGACAGUUGCUGUUUUAUUUUUUCAACAACUCUAACUUUCUCUGCUGAAUUUCAACUUAUGAUAGGAUAGGAAAGGGUGAACAAGACAAUAACUGAUGUGAUCAAGUGAGAUGUGCAGCAUAUAUCCUUGUUCAGUGACACCCUUUGCAUUUAGUAUGCUCUGAGAUACAGACAGCUUAGGGGGAUACAUUUGGAGAAGACUCUAGGACUCCUAACUCCCCAUGAGGCAGUUUGUUUGUUUGUAAUUGGGUUUUGCUAACAAUACUAUUUUGGUCAAAGCUGGCAUUUUUAGGUUUGGGGCACCUUUGUUUUUACAAUGACAAGUUACCUUUAUAAGUUGGGACGGUGUCCAACUUCCCUUUUUGAACUGGUUGUCUUUCCACAGGCCGGACUUUCACCACAGGCUGUACUUCGUAAGGAUUAAAAUCUCGCUUGUAGGUAGUCCCAAGAUCAAUUUUCCCCUGUUUGGGUUUAUACUCUUCCGGAAUAUGGCGAGGCUGCUUGACUACUUCGUAAGGACGAUAAUCUGACCUGAAAUAUAUAUAGAUGUGUGUGUAUGUGUGUGUGUGUGUGUGUGUGUGUGUGUGUGUGUGUGUGUGUGUGAGAAACUCAGUCUCACUGGUUCUUAUGUUUUGAUUAUCACAGUACUAAAAUCUUCAAUUCUGUCUUACUUGAACAAUCUAAGGAGAUAUUAAAAUGGUAAUAAUUGAUUAUUUGAAAGGAGCAAUUGAAUUGUUUUUAAGGUUCUAUCCAAUGAUAAGAAAAAACAAAAAAUCCUAGUUUUUAAAAAUUGAAACAUCUCAAUUUGAUCUUGUAAGUAAAAUUCUCAAGUAACUGAAUUUUAUUUUUUAUCUAAUGUAGAAGGAAAUCUCAAAAGAAAGAUUUGAUGAGCUGAUAAAUUUGUCAAGAUUAGUUCUGUAUCCACUUUGUCAAAAGCUACAUUCACCUAUAUAGACUAUACCCAGGCAUAGUGCCUUCCUAUGAAGUCACAAUAUCUUCCUGUGCAUUGUUAAAAAGAUCACUAACUCUGGCUCAUAGUACAGAUGUGAGCCUUACUAAGACUCUGGAUCUCUCAGAAGUCCUGGCCAUAGGUAGGAGUGAAAUGGCAAUCUAACUAUCCUGUGCAUUAUAUAACAUCACUGUGACAGAGUUGGUACUGCAGGGGCUGAGACAGUCCACUGGAAUGAAGGAAACCAGAGAGAUUCAAGACCAACUGGACUGUCUGAAUCCAAAUCCUGGCUCUGUCACUCAACAGCUGUAUAACCUUGGAUAACUUAGUUAACCUGUCCAUGCCCUUGUUUCCUUAUAAGUAAAGUUGGACGAUAUUAUGAUGUACAUCACAGUUAUUUUAAAGAUACACACUGUCAAUUCUGGCAGUCACCUAACUGAGCUACAAUUAUGCUUUCAAGAUAAAAAAUCUUACACAAGUUCACACAGUCUCUUCCUGUGUUAUAGAAACAUAUAGUAUAGAAUGAUACUUAUUCUUUAUACAGAUAAAUCACCCUUCAAUUUCCUAGUCACUGCGAUCAACACAAGCAAAAUCAUGCCAGAGUUCUAAGGCCCUGCUUUUAGGAAUGUUGGGUACCUACUCUAGGUAAUGGGUAUGGUAAUAGGUUCCUGAGGAAAGAACGCUGAGAAAACAAUAGAUGUACAUCCUGCUGGUGUGGAACACUGAACUGACUCUAAUAACAAAUUGGAAGAUAUUAUGAGAAGUUAUGAGAGGGAUAUUUACUUGGCCUCAAAAGCUAAAUAAAUAAAAGGUAGGGUGGCAGAGAUGACAUUUACAAAGGAAAAUUGUGUUGAUAUUUACAGAUCAGAUGAGUAUUAGCUAGGGAAAGAGGGAGGGAGAAUUCCAAACAGGGGGGAAAAAACUAGAGAAGCAAGCAGGGUUUGAUAAUCCAUGUAGUAGUUAUGGAAGGGAUUGAGUCUAUGCUAAACAACAGGAACGCUUUAAAGUAUUUCAAGCAGGAUCAUGAAUAGGAUUAAAUCUGCAUGGCUUAAAAGAUUGCCUUGGUAGGCUAAUGUAUUGGAUACCAAUCAGAGAUGUAAAAACUAGGACACACACAUAUACAUACCCACACAUACAUGCUUGUAUGCACAUGCACGAGUAUAAACACCCCCACACACCCCCACAAACAAAAAAAUUAGGAAGAGGCAUUCCUCUAGAUGGUGGUUACAGUGCCAAGUACAUAAAAUGAGAUAUUUUAAUCAAUUAAAAAAAUAAACAAAACCUUUUGUUUUUUCCUUUUCUUCUCUUUGCCAAAGUAACUUAAUUUCUACCUUUCUGUUUUUCUCAAGUCAUAAUCAGUUUUUGCUUCUCAAAUUAGUUCAACUUAAUUCAACUAGCUAGUUAAAUUUAAAUAGUAAGAAAACUUAAGUUCAGAAGAGUUGGGCAGAAAAAUAAGGAAACUGUUUCUAAAUAUUUACUUAAAUGUAGUUAUUCCUUCCAUUUUACCACGGUAUGCUUGAAAUUCUUGCUUGGGUUUAAGACUCUGAGGUGGAAGAACAUUGCCAUAUUUUGGAUAUUUUUCCAAAUACUCCGUUGUGGGGCAAGAUAUGCCAGAAUGUUCAUAAACCCUUGUGGUUCCAUGUGGACAACGAUGCCGUCUGUACAAACAAAUAAACUGAAACAUUAUUUUGCCUUAAAA